rnacentral:lncRNA from 1 species
UAUGAUAAACAAGAAAAGCUGUGUAAAUUACAGCAGUCGUGGACAGAGUAAUAAAAGAAUAUGAUUGAUUUCCUUCAUAGGAAACUACAAAAAAAGAAUUAAUCUACUGUUGCAUGUACAUACUCUUCUCUACCAAAUCAUCAAAAACUUUAAAUAAAGAAUAUUAAAAAAAAAAAAGAAAAAAAAAAGAAGAAAAAAACAAGAACAAGAAGAGGAUGAAGAAUUAGCUCAAUUGCUUCUGCAAAUUGGUUUCUAGACUCUAAUGACCAACGCCUGGACUUGGAACCGACGAUAUCAAUACCCUUUCUGUGUCCCUGUGGCCUCGACCGCUUGGCCCUGAUACCGGGACAGUGCCCUUCGGAAGGGCACUAAGAAAACUGGACAACCAUGAGUUGGUAUCAUCGCCAUUGCUCGAGCUAGAGAGAGAAAGGUCCUUCUUUUCACCAAAAGAAUGGUUAUCAAAAGCCAGAUCUUGGCUUUUCGGCAUUUGGGUAUUCUCGACAAGAAGCCUAGCAGAAGUGCUACCAGAGAAGAACACUGAAACGAAGAUCAAGAUCACCAGAGAUUGGACCGACAACCCAGCCAUGAGAGAGAGAGAAAGGACCUCGUGUGGGGGAUCUACUUUUGAUUUGAUGGAUGAGAGAGAAAGAGAGAGUUGUUAAACUAUGGAUGUGGGGAUAUGAUUUGUUUUAGAGAGAGAAAGAGUUUUGCAGAGAAUGUUGAGGAAGAUGAUGGAGAAGGGGAAUAGGGGGGGGGAGGGGGGAUUUGAAGGGGGGAGAGAGUGGACUUGUUGGCCUGCAGCUGAGGUCACAGUCGAUGGUGGGGUGUUUGUAGAGAGAGAAGAGAGAGAUGGUGGGGGUGUUUGUAGAGAGAGAAAGAGAGAGAGAGAGACAUACGUGAAGAAGAAGGCAAGGUUGGUCUGG